GAACGACAGCCCUGGCCGGCCUACCACUCUACUUAAAGGAGGAUUCAUCAGAGGUCUUCAAAACUUGCAAGGAUGAGUUGGAGGCAACCCAGGAGGGAGCAGUGGCUCUGGUGGCAGUGGUGGAUGAAGCGGAGGUGCCUGCAGGAGUUCCCUUUGAAACUCACCAUGUGUCGAUCGUCCUCGAAGAUCAGGUUGUAAUGUCUCACAGAUCUUGGACUGAUUCACUGGUAAUUUUGUUUGGAUUGAUCUAUGCUCUACAUUUGAGCUACCCUGAGAAGCUGAGUGGCUUCUUUGAGUUCAUCCAGGUUGUCCUGCUAAAUCUUGAUGAUGGGAGAAAGCAGCUCAAACCUAAGUUACAGUCCUUGAGAAAUGAGCUGGAGUAGGUUGUCAGUAGCUUUUAAUGUUGAAUGUCAGCAUCGUUUUUUGCUUGCAUGCCAAAUACUGGUAGCUAAUGACAUGUAUAUACAGUAAACUAUGGCACCUCUGAUUUGUGUGUUAAAAUAGGUCAUAUUCUUGGAUUGCUUCUGUGGUGUUCUCACUUCUCUUUACCACAUGGAAAUAUGUUGAAUUUUUAUUUAUAUGCUUUUUAUAUGAGCCUCAUUUUCAUUGUUAUUUCCAGCAUAUAAAUGUUAAUGUAUACGACAUUUAAUUCAACAGCUUCAUUGUAAAACAAUAUUGGCACGGAAUCCAAGGGAAUCCAAAUGUUGACGUUAAAAAUGUUUUCUUUUGUCAGCUACUGACACUUUGGGUGAACUAUCCCUUUAAACUGUUAACUUAAAAUAUGCCCUGCUUUAUGUUAUACAGUUGAUCGUUAUGGGCAUAAGAAUGUGCUUAGUCUGCUGUAGCCUUUAAGAUUGCAUAUGUGAAAAAUCUGAGAGAUAUUUCUUUGAAUUUCAGCAGCUGGUUGCAUUGAGAUGUGAACAACAAAAUAAAUUGCUCAAGCUGA